rnacentral:lncRNA from 1 species
AUUAAUUAUGUAGAUAUUUACAUAUCUUAAAAGACUGUCCUUUUUAAAUUUUAUUAUUAUUAUUAUUUUUAUAGAGAUGGGAUUUGACCAUGGCUAGGAUGGUCUCGAUUUCCUGACCUCGUGAUCUGCCUGCCUUGGCCUCCCAAAGUGCUGGGAUUACAGGCGUGAGCCCCCGCGCCCGGCCAAAAGACUAUCCUUUUAAUAAUUUCAAAUGAUACUUUGUAGUUCCUAGUAUGGUGCCCUAGGUAUACUGUUGAUAUUUACUAUAAAGUUUUGUGCAUGAUAAAUUGCCCUGCUUCAGUAGUGCCACAGAAUCAAUUGGUUCUUGUAUCUGAAAUUAUUUAAUGAAUGCUGAUGAAGUAUGCUGGACUUCGUUAGGUCCUGACGGCAUUUGAAAAGAAGUUUGACAUCUGCCUGUCUGUCCCCUCUUGGCUGCCUACAAGGUGGUUAUUGAGGAAUUUGCAUUCUGCUAUCGUCAAGUGGCCUGAAAGCCAGGGAGAUUGAGAAGAUGAGUGCUCUUUGUGCCUUAAAAAGAAGCAGGCAAAAGCUGGACCGGGAACAGAGUAUCAGUGUUACAGUAAAGUGAAGUUACUAUGUUUUCUGAACUCCUUGCAAGCAUUUUCAAGGAAAGGAACUUUUGUUACAGGCUUUUAACAGAGCACCAGUUGGAAAUUUCAGAGUCAGCAACAAGCCUAGAUGCCUGGAAAAUUCCAUCACUUAUAAGGCAUGGCAGGCAGAAUAUCGGUGCCCUUCAAGAUGUCCACAUGCUGAUCCCUGAAACCUGGGACUAUGUUACCUUAAAUGGCAUAAGGGUCUUUGCAGGUGUGAUGAAUGUUAUGCACCUUGAGGAGAGUAGCUUGGAUUAUCCAGGUGAGCCCAGUUUAACAAAAUAAAUCCUUAAAAGCAAAAGCAAAGAGCCUUUCCAGCUGUGGUCAGAGGGACAGGUGACUAGAGAAGAGUGUUCACCCCCUUUCCCUUGUCCUGCUUUGUUUUCUCCACUCUGUGGGAGGCACAAGAAUGCCUCCUCCAAAGAGGUGCACAUCCUAAUCCCCAGAGCCUAUGAAUAUGGUAUGUUAUAUGGCAAAGGGGGAUUAAGAGUGCAAAUGGAAUUGUUUGCUAAUUUGCUGACCAUAAGAUUGGGAGAGUGUCUUGGAUUAUCCAGAUGGACCCAAUGUAAUCACAAAGGUCCUGAAUCUUGGAAGAGGAAAGCAGAAGAGGGGUUCAGAGUGAUGUGACGUCAGUCUUAGCCUGCUGUUGCUAGCUUUGAGGAUGGAGGAACGGGGCUAGGAGCCCAGGAAUGCAGCAGCCUCUAGAAGCUGGAAAAGGCAAGGAAAAGGAUUCUCCCCCAGAGCCUCCAGAAACAAAUACAGCCUUACUGACACCUUGCUUUUAGCCCAGUGAGACUCAUGUUAGACUUCUGGUACUGCAAGAUAUUAAAUGGAUGAUGGCUGGGCGCAGUAGCUCAUGCCUGUAAUU